CAGUCGACGGAGUAAUAAUUUGCUUGCAAAUUAUUGCUUAGUGGCGGACGGGUGAGUAACGCGUAGGAAUCUGCCGUACAGUGGGGGACAACAGUUGGAAACGACUGCUAAUACCGCAUGACACCUUCGGGUCAAAGGUUGCUUAUGCAGUCGCUGUACGAUGAGCCUGCGUUGGAUUAGCUAGUUGGUUGGGUAAAGGCUGACCAAGGCGAUGAUCCAUAGCUGUUCUGAGAGGAAGAUCAGCCACACUGGGACUGAGACACGGCCCAGACUCCUACGGGAGGCAGCAGUGGGGAAUAUUGGACAAUGGGGGCAACCCUGAUCCAGCAAUACCACGUGUGUGAAGAAGGCCUUAGGGUUGUAAAGCACUUUAUUUAGGGAGGAAGGUUAUCAGGUUAAGAGCUAGAUAAUUUGACGUUACCUAAAGAAUAAGCACCGGCUAACUCCGUGCCAGCAGCCGCGGUAAUACGGAGGGUGCGAGCGUUAAUCGGAAUUACUGGGCGUAAAGGGUUCGUAGGUGGUUAGAUAAGUC
rnacentral:rRNA from 1 species